rnacentral:rRNA from 1 species
CCUACGGGCGGCAGCAGUGGGGAAUAUUGCACAAUGGGGGAAACCCUGAUGCAGCGACGCCGCGUGAGUGAAGAAGUAUUUCGGUAUGUAAAGUUCUAUCAUCAGGGAAGAAAAUGACGGUACCUGAUUAAUAAGCCCCGGCUAACUACGUGCCAGCAGCCGCGGUUAUACGUAGGGGGCAAGCGUUAUCAGGAUUUACUGGGUGUAAAGGGAGCGUAGAGGGCCGCGCAAAUCUGGAGUGAAAUGCCGGGGCUUAACCCCGGGACUGCUUUGGAAACUGUGAAGCUAGAGUGCGUUAGAGGUAAGUGGAAGUCCUAGUGUAGCGGUGAAAUGCGUAGAUAUUAGGAGGAACACCAGUGGCGAAGGCAGCUUACUGGGCUGUAACUGACGUUGAGGCUCGAAAGCGUGGGGAGCAAACAGGAUUAGAUACCCUAGUAGUC